GUUGCAGUUGAGCCCAAACUGAAUGCUGUCUGUAGAAGGAAACAACAAACUUUGUACUUUAUGUACAGAGUAACAUGGUCAACUUUUUGGCUUAGAUUUCAACACUACACUUGCACAAUGUCUUUGAAACCAAGAGUAGUAGAUUUUGAUGAAACAUGGAACAAACUUUUGACGACAAUAAAAGCCGUGGUCAUGUUGGAAUACGUCGAAAGAGCAACAUGGAAUGACCGUUUCUCAUUCAUUAUCUUUACCUUGGAGACACUUGGUGGUGGUCAUCGUACUGAUAAGAUGGCAUAGCUUUAUCAUGGAACAGUCUGGAGUAUAACCACCAGGAGGUCCUGACCUCUGUGUUGCUCUGGUGUCAUUGUUCCUGUGGACAAAUGAGCUGUUACCUCCAAAAUGCCUUGUCACAGUAGUUGGAGGCAGCAUAUGAAACACCUAGUUCCCAGAAUCAUAAUCUAAUACCGUGUCUGGCCCCAAAGUUAUAAAUGGGCUUUGCCUUAAGUC
rnacentral:lncRNA from 1 species